rnacentral:rRNA from 1 species
AUCACCUCUAGCAUAAAAAGUAUUAGAGGCAUUGCCUGCCCAGUGACUAGAGUUCAACGGCCGCGGUAUCCUGACCGUGCAAAGGUAGCAUAAUCACUUGUUCCUUAAUUAGGGACUAGUAUGAAUGGCUAGACGAGGGUUCAACUGUCUCUUAUUUCCAAUCAGUGAAAUUGACCUUUCAGUGAAGAGACUGAAAUAAAUUAAUAAGACGAGAAGACCCUAUGGAGCUUUAAUUUGUCAGUUUAAUUAUUACUACUUAUUAACCUAAUGGUUUAUCUAUCAAUAAUCUAAACUUAAAAUUUCGGUUGGGGUGACCUCGGAGAAAAAAGAAUCCUCCGAAUGAUUAUAACAUAGACCUACAAGUCAAAGUAAACAACCUUAUCUUAUUGAUCCAAUUCUUUUUUGAUCAACGGACCAAGUUACCCUAGGGAUAACAGCGCAAUCCUAUUUAAGAGUUCAUAUCGACAAUUAGGGUUUACGACCUCGAUGUUGGAUCAGGACAUCCCAAUGGUGCAGAAGCUAUUAAUGGUUCGUUUGUUCAACGAU